rnacentral:lncRNA from 1 species
CGGGGACCUUGGUAGCGGCGCCACUGGCUGCGGCUGCAGAGUGAGAACAAGCAAACGCCCCCCACCGGCAGGGUGGAAGGAAAAUGGAGUGCGUUGGCGCUGCGGAGGAGUCACUGCGGUGAGGAUGGCCCGGACACCAAUUUGGGCACCCGCAGGCGCAGCUAGCCGGUGGGGCGCACCUGGGUCUCCUCCGGCUUCCGCGGGAUAUCUGCAGGGCGACUCCCUCCAGAUUCAGUAAACGUCCUGCUGGGGGAGUCCUUCCCCUGCAAAAGGCCCGCCCCUGCCUCCCAUGUCGUGGAGUUCGAGGCAGGGUCCCUGAAAGGGUCUUGGGGUGGGAGGAGUCCUGUGAGAUCACCGAAUGAGUCAGGGUCUGGCCUGGGUCCCAGGCCCAGGGGUCCCGAGGCCCUGGGGCAGCUGGGUAGCUCUGCUGGCCGCCCUGUGCGGGGACUCUCUACCUAUGCAGGUCUGGUCGGACCUGGAGGCAGCGGGUUCUGCUGCUGCGAAGAUUCCCAACGGCCGGUUGGGGAGGGGCUGCACAAUCCUGGACCUCGCGGGAGUACAGGACCCGCAAAGGCAGGGGAGUCGGAUCAUGUGCCAAGAGCAUCCCGGGGUCCCGGCUGCUGGCUUGGCUGCCCUGGUCAUCGCUGCGGUUAUGUGCCGUUGCUACCGCAGAGCAAGCGGCCCCGGUUCUUGAACCACACCUGCACUUGAUGGUCCUGCAAGUUGAGUCUGACAGCCAGGGCCCCCGCUCCUUGUGGGCUGUUACCUGCUCUUUCCAGCCUGUCUCCAGCUCCGGCGGCUUUCCCUUACUGUAGACUGCACUUCCUGCCGCCGCCUCCUGGGAGAGCGUGGGAUGGUGGGGGAUAACUAGGUUCUGGCAUCCUCACUCCUCCUGCCCACAAGCGAUGGGAUUUAAAUCGCACUGUCCAUGCUGUGCUCAUCGAGGCCCACCCUGCUUUUACUAGGACCCUCCCUGCAGUCCCCACUCCCUCCUUCCCACGAGUCUUGCAGUCAUGGAUUAAUCCCUUCAUUAUUGACCAGCUGCUGCAGGCAGGCCCUGUGUCGUCCUGUAUCACUUUAACGUGACCUCAUUAGUCUUUGAUUUCUCCUUCACUUUCUGGUACAAUAAGAGACUUGUAUCCAGUCUCCUUUUGUACAUUUUUUGCCCUAGACUUAGAAUCAGCCAAUUUCAUUGGUAAAUGUUAUCUAGAGAGUUCAGCCGUGGAAGUGUGCUCAUUGUUACUGGGUUUUCAUUGCUUCUGGGUCUUUUCAGUGGACAGAACUAGAAAAUAUGUAUUUUUUAAAGAGUAAAACACAAUGUGAGUUCAUACUGCAAUUUCCAAUUCACUUUUAAGAUUACAAGAUUUUUACUUAAACUUCCUUGAUUUUAUGCUAUGUCAUUUUUAUACUGAAAAUUAUGGUUCCUAAUGAUGGAAACAUAGUAAUUUAAUAAAAAUGUCAAUACUAAUAUA